rnacentral:rRNA from 1 species
UACGUAGGGGGCUAGCGUUGUCCGGAAUCAUUGGGCGUAAAGCGAGCGUAGGCGGCCCGAUAAGUCUGCUGUGAAAGUCAACGGCUCAACCGUUGAAAGCCGGUGGAUACUGUCGGGCUAGAGUUCGGAAGAGGCAAGUGGAAUUCCUGGUGUAGCGGUGAAAUGCGCAGAUAUCAGGAGGAACACCGGUGGCGAAGGCGGGUCUCUGGGCCGAUAUUGACGCUGAGGAGCGAAAGCGUGGGGAGCAAACAGG